rnacentral:rRNA from 1 species
UGAGGAAUAUUGGACAAUGGGUGAGAGCCUGAUCCAGCCAUCCCGCGUGAAGGACGACGGCCCUAUGGGUUGUAAACUUCUUUUGUACAGGGAUAAACCUACCCUCGUGAGGGUAGCUNAAGGUACUGUACGAAUAAGCACCGGCUAACUCCGUGCCAGCAGCCGCGGUAAUACGGAGGGUGCAAGCGUUAUCCGGAUUUAUUGGGUUUAAAGGGUCCGUAGGCGGGCCGAUAAGUCAGUGGUGAAAUCUCGCAGCUUAACUGUGAAACUGCCAUUGAUACUGUUGGUCUUGAGUAAAUUUGAAGUGGCUGGAAUAAGUAGUGUAGCGGUGAAAUGCAUAGAUAUUACUUAGAACACCAAUUGCGAAGGCAGGUCACUAAGAUUUAACUGACGCUGAUGGACGAAAGCGUGGGUAGCGAACAGGAUUAGAUACCCUGGUAGUCCACGCCGUAAACGAUGCUAACUCGUUUUUGGGGACUUGUGCUCAGAGACCAAGCGAAAGUGAUAAGUUAGCCACCUGGGGAGUACGAUCGCAAGAUUG